rnacentral:lncRNA from 1 species
AAAUCAGCCUUUUGCUGCGAAGUGAUUUCGCAGCCCUUUUUAUGCGUCUGCGAAAUCUCGCAGACCUCGUUUUCACCUGCGAAAUGGUCCUUAGUGCUUCCCGAUAUUUGUGACCGACACUUUGAGAUAUUUUUCUUCAGAUUUUUGUUGUCUAAAUCCCCAAAGUCUCCUUGUAAGCCACCAAUUAUAGGAUUCCUUAGCUAUUGAGUU